rnacentral:rRNA from 1 species
ACGGGAGGCAGCAGUGGGGAAUAUUGGGCAAUGGGCGAAAGCCUGACCCAGCAACGCCGCGUGAAGGAAGAAGGUCUUCGGAUUAUAAACUUCUUUUAUGAGGGACGAAGGAAAUGACGGUACCUCGUGAAUAAGCCACGGCUAACUACGUGCCAGCAGCCGCGGUAAUACGUAGGUGGCAAGCGUUAUCCGGAUUUACUGGGUGUAAAGGGCGCGUAGGCGGGGAAGCAAGUCAGAUGUGAAAUCCAUGGGCUCAACUCAUGAACUGCAUUUGAAACUGUUUUUCUUGAGUGUCGGAGAGGUAGAUGGAAUUCUUAGUGUAGCGGUGAAAUGCGUAGAUAUUAGGAAGAACACCAGUGGCGAAGGCGAUCUACUGGACGAUAACUGACGCUGAGGCGCGAAAGCGUGGGGAGCAAACAGGAUUAGAUACCCUGGUA